rnacentral:rRNA from 1 species
UUUGACCUCCAAUCAGGGAAGACUACCCGCUGAACUUAAGCAUAUCAAUAAGCGGAAGAAAAG